CCUGAGAAACCCGAAAGAUCGAAUGGGGAGAUUCAUCGUCAGCGAUUCUGGUACGUGUGCGGCUCGCGAUGUCCGAGACUUCGGUCUCGAGGCACGCGUCCGCAUGUUUUUUAUUGCCGGAAUCGUCGGCGUGCACUUCUCCCCUAGUAGGACGUCGCGACCCGUUGGGUGUCGGUCUACGGCACGGUAGGUAGCCUGUCUCGUGUGCGCUUCACGGCGUUACGCGGGGCAGACCUCCGUUCGCCCGACCGGCUGCUCGGCGGUACUCGCAAGGUAUCUGGCCGCAGACAUACGAACUGCGUCCGGCCCGUCGCAAGCGCGGCAAGUGUCCCCGGCUGUACGGAUCCAAUGCCGUCACCGGGCCUUGCCAGCUGUUGGUUGACGGUGUCCUAGGACUGGCUAACAAAAUUAUGAUACCGGUCGGCGACGCUACUGCUUUGGGUACUUUCAGGA
rnacentral:rRNA from 1 species